AUUUCAAAGACUCUAACGUCUCCAUUCUCCUUCCUGGCCUUUGGAAAUUCUACCACAAUAUGUAACUAUUCUGCACUAAAUCUUUCUGUUUAUUAAUGUCUUAUUUAUUCAAAUUUCCAUUGGUUCAGUGAACAACAACAACAACAGCAACAACAACAAGAAGAAAAUGUAGAGAAAAAUAGACUCCAGAAUGGAGCUUGGAAGGAUUUCUCUCUCCUGAUCUCAGCUCCAGCAUGGCCCCUCAACUAAAAGAAGCAGUUUUUUGACCUUUGAAGACUCUGAGUGACUUGACAGCCACACCUCCAAAGCCCGUUGCCCUUGGCAACCAUUGAAGUAGAAGAACAUCCUCUUUAGACAGCAGCAGGACUCUUCUGUCAGCUUUCCAGAACCAUGUCUCCACUGAGGGAACCCUGGCUCCAGGAGCAACAGAGGGAAGAACUCUUUUUCUGUUCAUUGGGAAUGCCAGUGACUGCCUGGGAAGAGGAGGACACUUGCUCCCAAUGGUGAUGGACAGAUCACACAAUCCUUCAAUGAGGGAAGUCAGAGAAGAACCUGAAGCAGAAACCAUGGAGAAGGCUGCUUACUGCUCACUCUCUGGCUCAUGCUCAGCAAACCCACAGGCCAGGCCCAUCAAUAUAGGGAUGGUGCCACCCACAGUAGGCUAGACCCUCCCAUACCAGUUGUCAGUCAGGGCAGGCUGAUAGAGGCAAUUCCCCAGCUGAGGUCCCCUCUUCUCAGAUGACUCUCGGCUGUUUCAGGUUGACAAUAAGAACAGUAAGAAGUUGGAAUACUUUGGGGUCUUUUGGGGAGCCCUUCCCAGUUUCUUGAAAUCCUUUGGUGAGAACAGGAAGUAGAAGAGGAGGAAAAGGAAAAGGAGGAGGAGGAGGAGGAGGAGGAGGAGGAGGAGGAGGAGGAGGAGAGCUCAAAAGUUCCUACCUCUUGAUCUUACCUUCAGUAUCAUCUGACUAAAACGUCUGUGGCUUUCAAAAGCCAAUUCUUUCAUGUUUCAUUCUUAAAG
rnacentral:lncRNA from 1 species